rnacentral:tRNA from 1 species
GGGUCGUUAGCUCAGUUGGUAGAGCAGUUGACUUUUAAUCAAUUGGUCGCAGGUUCGAAUCCUGCAGGACCCACCA